rnacentral:rRNA from 1 species
GUGGGGAAUUUUGGACAAUGGGGGCAACCCUGAUCCAGCCAUGCCGCGUGCGGGAAGAAGGCCUUCGGGUUGUAAACCGCUUUUGUCAGGGAAGAAAUCCUUUGGGUUAAUACCUCGGAGGGAUGACGGUACCUGAAGAAUAAGCACCGGCUAACUACGUGCCAGCAGCCGCGGUAAUACGUAGGGUGCGAGCGUUAAUCGGAAUUACUGGGCGUAAAGCGUGCGCAGGCGGUUUUGUAAGAUCGAUGUGAAAUCCCCGGGCUCAACCUGGGAACUGCAUUGGUGACUGCAAGGCUGGAGUGCGGCAGAGGGGGAUGGAAUUCCGCGUGUAGCAGUGAAAUGCGUAGAUAUGUGGAGGAACACCGAUGGCGAAGGCAGCCAUCUGGCCUAAUACUGACGCUGAGGUACGAAAGCAUGGGGAGCAAACAGGAUUAGAAACCCCAGUAGUCC